rnacentral:rRNA from 1 species
GACGAACCGUGCGAACGUUGUUCGGGAUCACUGGGCUUAAAGGGUGCGUAGGCGGGUUGUCCAGUCCGGGGUGAAAUCCCACGGCUCAACCGUGGAACUGCCUCAGGUACUGACGACCUCGAGGGAGGUAGGGGCGAGCGGAACUGUGGGUGGAGCGGUGAAAUGCGUUGAUAUCCACAGGAACUCCGGUGGCGAAGGCGGCUCGCUGGACCUCUUCUGACGCUGAGGCACGAAAGCUAGGGGAGCAAACGGG